rnacentral:rRNA from 3 species
AUUGACCUCGGAUCAGGUGAGGAUACCCGCUGAAUUUAAGCAUAUCA